rnacentral:rRNA from 1 species
GACAGAGGUCUCAAGCGUUAGGCGGAAUCACUGGGCUUAAAGCGUGUGUAGGCGGAUCGUUAAGUGCCUUGUGAAAUCCCACAGCUCAACUGUGGAACUGCUUGGCAUACUGGCGGUCUUGAGCCAUCUAGGGGGUCGCUGGAACAAACGGUGGAGCGGUGAAAUGCGUAGAUAUCGUUUGGAACGCCAAUGGUGAAAACAGGCGACUGGGGAUGUGCUGACGUGAGACACGAAAGCCAGGGGAGCGAACGGGG